rnacentral:rRNA from 1 species
UACGGGGGGGGCAAGCGUUGUUCGGAAUUACUGGGCGUAAAGGGCUCGUAGGCGGCCAACUAAGUCGGACGUGAAAUCCCCAGGCUCAACCUGGGAACUGCGUCCGAUACUGGAUGGCUUGAAUCCGGGAGAGGGAUGCAGAAUUCCAGGUGUAGCGGUGAAAUGCGUAGAUAUCUGGAGGAAUACCGGUGGCGAAGGCGGCAUCCUGGACCGGCAUUGACGCUGAGGCGCGAAAGCCAGGGGAGCGAACGGG